rnacentral:tRNA from 1 species
AGAGCUAUAGUAUUUAUAGGUAAGUGCACUACUCUAAGGAGUAGAGAUAGAGGUUCAAAUCCUCUUAGCUCUUCA